rnacentral:SRP_RNA from 1 species
ACUGGUAUGGUGGCACUAGUGUAUAACCCCAGCUACCUAGGAGGCUUAACCUGACAGAUCUCUUGAAUCCCGGAGUUCUGAUUUGCUAUGGGUUAUGCCAAUUGGGUGUCCACCCUAAAUCUGGCAUUAAUAUGCUGAGCCUGUGGGAGCAGGGGACCAUCAGGUUACCUAAGGAGCAGCAAACCAACCCAGAUCAGACACAAGAGCAGGUUAAAGCUCCCGAGCUAGUGAAUAGUGGGAUCAGGCCUAUGAACAGCUCUUGUAUUUCCAGCUGGACAAGAUGGAGAGACCCAGUCUUAA